GUGCCGGCGUCCUCAGACGCUCGCGGAAAUCAAAUGGUAAGGCGGGAGGGGCCCCAGCCCCCGCCUGGCGGCCGACGCCCACUCCGCCCUGAAAGGUACAACGCAGGUGUCCGGCGACACAGCGCCUAGCCUCCGGCCCCUCUCUCCCGGGGGCGUGCGCGGCCCACAGUAAAAGGCCAGGCUCUCGGGGGCGCGAUCCCGGCUCAGGGGCUGCCCCGGCUGGGCGCGCGCACCCCUCCAAGGGCGGGUGGGGUGGGAGGGUGAUUGUACCUGUGGCGCAGGCGGGCCAGGGAAUGCGGCGCCGUCAGCCGCUGCGUGUAUUUUGGGCCAUCGCAGGUGCCCGAGCAGCUGCUGCGAAAGGAGCGUCACUGGCCGCGGCGCCGAGGCAGCCAUUCACCAUCUCGCGCGCCCAGCUUUGCGCCUUGAGCUUAGCGCACGCAGCGCUGAGCCGCGGGGGCUUAAGGAUAAAGGGGGACAGUGUUUUCCGGAAAGAAUGCCCCCGUGGGGAGAGAGGGGGAAAGAGAGAAUGACACGAAAUGGGGAGAACACCCACGCGCAAGACAGCUACAGCCACGGUCUUUCGCCAGUUAAGCUCCCAUCUACCCGGCUGUCCUGGCUCCGGGGGCAGAAAGGCGGGAAGGGGGAGCAGCGCCCCGGGCUGGCCGCGCCUGGGGCUCGCGGGAGCCGCUGGCCGAGGUCACCCAAACCCAGCGAGCGAGCCUCGGUCUGCGGGAGAGCCCGCGGGGGGCAGGGGAGCCGCCGCGGCGCGGGAGGGAGCGCGCAGCCUGAGGCCGGUGCUCUGGCGCCGCGCGCCCCCUCCCGGAGCCGCAGGGAACCGGGGUUACCUGGGGAGCCGGGCUUUGUCGGUCACGCUGGCUCUCUGCGGCCCCAGAACUAAUUAAACGCCUCUUUUGGCCAAGGAAAGCCUCGCGCCCGACGGGGUGGGGGCGUGUGGGGGCGGCAUGUGGGCACGGGAAUAAUCAGCCCCAUUCUUGCGCCUGUACAAAACCCGCCGCGCAGCGAGAAGUGAACAGCGGCCGCCUGAAUGGAGGUUUCAAAAGGCGACACCUGCAAGCACGGCCGGUUGUGAAUUGAAUGGAGUCAAGCGCGGCGCCCGCUCGUACCUGAGCCGCGAGCUAUUAGUGUCAGGGGCUCCCGGUCGCCAGGGCGGGGAAGCGCGCGGCCCGGCCGCCCGCGCUGAAUACGGCAAGCUGCCGCGCGGCCGCUCCAUGGGAAUGUCGCCACUUGUGCUGCUCGCGGUCGGGAGGGGGUGCGCUGCCCUUUCAGAGACAGACACAAUUAGGCAAAAUGCUCAAUGAACAUUAUAAAUGAUGUGCGAUCGCUCUGCAGAUUGCCUGGCAAAUCAAAUUAUAUGGUCGCUCGCGGGCUAUUUCCAUGUGCUUUUAAAACUUAAACAGGUAUUCGCCGAUUUAAAAAAAAAAAAAAAAAAGCCGACUCAGGGAUUCCGGAAAAUAACAACUGAAAGACUCGGUGUUGAAUAUUCACACGUCCCCUUUGUUAGCGAUUGACUUCACAAUGGGCUUGGGGAGGGGGUGCGCUUGGACGAGACACAUUUUUUACUGUCUUCCAUACUGCAGAGGAAGGCACCAGAAGUUUGCAUUUAUUACAACUCACAAUUACAGUGGGACCUUCUUUUUUCUUUUAAGACUAAAAUUCUCAUAAUGAAUGGCUUGAAAGCUACUGUCAUUCUAAUCAGAUGGAAGAAACAUUCUAAUCAGAUGGAAGCUGGCCCGGGUGCGCUUGGGGAGGGGCGAGGAAAGACCCGUGCUGCUCCCUGGCACUGAGUGCUAACCCUGGAGGGAGGUGGCUGGGGAAACCGUUGCUCCACGCUCCACGCUGCCCAGGCUCGGGGCCUCGGGCUCAGCCCUGCGGGCCCCUGGCUGCCCACCGGCCUCCCUGCCAGCCGCUGCGCUUCAGGACAAGCAGCGCGUGGGGCGAGCGAGAGCAAGCGGCGCCCAGCGCGGUGCGCCCAGGGCGGCUCCGGCACCGGCACGGGCACGGGCUCCCGGGCACCCUCGCUCCGUCCCGCUUUGGCCCUACGCUCUUUGGCUGGCGACUUGUGGAGGAGAAGGGGCAGCUGGAGGCGCCCAGAUUGCGCGAACCCCCGCCGAGGCCAGGAGUCGCGCCGCAGGCCAGGGACUGUCAACCAGGAAAAGCAGAGUCGAUUUUAGUUUCUAAAAAAGGAAGCAAGGAAGCGGCAGCAAUCCGCUGCCUUCCAUCCCCGCCGACCUCCAUCUCAUUUUCGAUUUUCUACUCUUUUGGUUUUCAGAUAAUUGGGCCGGAGGGAGGGGUACAGAAUUGGGGCUCCUGAAGACAGUUGGCAACUAUAUAUUGCUGAUGAAAGACCAACAGGAAGGAAGACGAAAUCUGGCUUUUUGGUUCGCCUUUGUCACUGGGUCACUGUGUUUUCUUGGGCAAGGAGCUUAACGUCUCUGGCUCAGUUUCCGCAUUCUUGAAAUGGGAAUAAUGUUGCCAGGGUCCGAUUUGUCUUCCUCGCGUUUGUAUUACUUUAGUUGGGAACGGCGAUCUUUUUGGUAGAUUGUUCUUGUUUGUCAGCCUUAAAGUCAAGGGUUAUACACAAACCCGAGAGGUAAAAAGCUCUUAGAAGGACAAAUCUCAGAAGACCAGAGGCCUGAGCACUUGCGUUCCCCUCCCACCUUCCGUCUCCGUCUGUGCAUGUGUGUCACUUUCUGUUGGGACAGGAGGCAAAGAAUGCUCUUCCUAACUGCUUCCCGAUGCUAAGAGGGAGUGAUGAGAGCAGAACCCGACCAAAAGAGCCCAUCUGGCAGCGUGCGCGCGCUUAGAUUCAGAAGGAGGCAGGUCGCGAAUAAAUUUUCAUCUCUGGUCAGAAACUUUUCCUGCUGGUACCGGUGGCCGCUCCGUGAAGAACAAUUUAUGAUGUUCUUUUAAGAAUAAGGAAGGCGAGUUUAGCUGACAAAGAACAUUUCUUUAUCACAGUUCUGGGAGUGCGAGUUCGCUAGUGAGGAUACGGGGAACCCAGGAAAGAGCCAGGUGCGCUGGCCUUGGUGCUGAAGGUAAAGGCCACGCCUUCGGAGGCAACGUCUCCCAAAUCAAUGGCCAGUGAAGCUGCCAAAAGAAAUUGGACUACACCCUCUUAAUACUUCCCUCCCUCCCAGAGGGUGUGCUUGUUUCGUGUGUGUGUGUGUGUGUGUGUGUGUGUGUGUGUACGAGUGUAAAGUGGGAAUAACGUCAAAGCCACUAGCACUAGAACAUAAAGAGAGGCCCACUAAAUUUUAGUUAAUUGAGUGGAUGUUUGGGUACCUUUCUCUUAAUCCCUUCCAUAGCUUAAUCCCUUCCACAAUAUCUCUGGGCUCAGAAAAAGAGGAUUACGUCUCAGAAAAAAAGAAAUGAGGACUGGGACAGAGUGACCUUGGAAAAGUAAAGCUGGUUUUAACUAAUAUUCUAUUCUGAGAUCUCUAAGGAAAGUCUUUUGGUACUGGGUUAAAUGGGUGAUGAAGGGUUCCUGCAUGUCAUUUGUGGGAAACAUUUCUCAGGGGUUAAAACAUGAUUGAAACACCAUGGGCCAACCAAUAUUUCUGUUCACUUUUCUGUCACAAUGUCAUAUUUAAUAAUUAAAAAUCCAUUCCUAUGACCUUCACAUUAAAAAUAGGAACCAAGUAGCAUGUGUGAAGAUGUACACUUUAACAAGUUAAGAAAAGAAACAAAUAUUUGAGUUAAAAGUAAGAAAAUAAGAUACAGUGGAACUAAGUUCUGCACACUUGCAACAGAUGGUCUAAAAUUUUGGCUCCAAACUUCCCAAAAGUUAGUACAAAGAGGAAACAUGAUAAAUGUCAUGAUUCACAGUGGGUAAAAUACAAGUCAACUGCUUUCUCGUAGAAAAACAACUAUUUAUAGUAUGGACACCUGAGAGAAAUUUCUUCUAUGUGUCUCCAUAAAAUGAUGUCUUGAGCACUGACCUCAACAAUGUCCCUAAAGUAAAUGGAUUUGAGUUAUGUGGGCUGGCUUCUAUUUCUGUCACUCAGUAUAGCCCUACAAUAUCCCCUUUGUCUGAGGAAGAACAAAACGGCUGAGAAAAGGACCUGGCAAAUGCCAUGCUUACCCGCUCCCAGUGCACUGUUGGAAUCUGAGUGUGGAGGGCAAGCCAUCCUGGGAGUCCUUAUACUACAGUUCUCGCACGUUCUAAAAGAUUUGCAAAAAUACUCAGGGUACCCAGGUUGGUAUCUAAGGUAAGAUCAAUGACAGGGCUGCCGCUGUCCCUUGUGCUGGAAACCAUCAAAAACAUCUCUGGGCCAGUUUAGUGUCCGUGAAAAUCAUCUGUUUCAACUUCACAUUCCUAGGCUGUAGAUAUUCUGACUCAGUAUCAGUAUCACUGAAAAAACAUAUUUACAAAUAUGUAUACUGAACUUCAUAUCUUUGCAUCCCAGGUAUGCAAUGAGAUCACCAAAAUUGUUUUUCUUCCUGAAGAGAGCUAAACAAAGCUCGCAGCCUUUCCUGCAGCUAUGUGGGACUGUGCGAUUGAAUCCUGACGAAUAGAAUGUAAGCAAAGUGAUACAGAUGACUUCUACCAUUGGCCCCUAAAACUACCCUUGCAUUCUCAUGACAUUGGCCUUUCGUCUCUUGUUAGCUGCCAGCUGGACACAAAGAAUCUCGCAGAGGACUCUGAGGCCCUGGAUGAUAGCAGAGACAUUACGUAGAAAUGUCUCUGCAUGGGAAGAAAUGCCCCUGCAUGGGAAGACCACCCUUUACAACCUACUCAUGAACUUGAAAUAAGCAGUGACUGCAGUGUUCUCCUGGUAAAGCUACUGAGAUUCAGGGACUGCUUCUUACAGCGUCUAGCUUUACUCACCUGAAUACACCAGCUGAUUCUAAAAUGGCCUAAUAACUACAUUUGGAGAAACCACAUCAUACAAAACUAUGAUGAAGCAAAUGAUUCACUCUGGUGACAGUUCCCCAGCUUAUAAGAAUGACUCAAACGGCAAGAUUCCAAAUAUGGUAGCAGUCCAGGUGAAUGCAGGGUUUGGGGUAAGGACCUCUCUAAUGACCUCUUAUGAAUGUCGCCACCUCAACAAAAUAUACUUGGAAGUUAUUGGUUUUGUGCUAUUUGUUUUCUGAAAAUGACCCUUCUCUUUCUCUUUCUUCCUUGAUCCUGCCAUCACUGGGGGGGGGGGGGGGAAGGUGNNNNNNNNNNNNNNNNNNNNNNNNNNNNNNNNNNNNNNNNNNNNNNNNNNNNNNNNNNNNNNNNNNNNNNNNNNNNNNNNNNNNNNNNNNNNNNNNNNNNNNNNNNNNNNNNNNNNNNNNNNNNNNNNNNNNNNNNNNNNNNNNNNNNNNNNAGAAAAAAAAAUCUUGGGGCGCCUGGGUGUCUCAAUCAGUUAAGCAUCCACCUUCGGCUCAGAUCACGAUCUUACAGUUCGCGGGUUCGAGCCCCGCGUCGGGCUCUGUGCUGACAGCUCAGAGCCUGGAGCCUGCUUCAGAUUCUGUCUCUCUCUCUCUCUCUCUCUCUGCCCCUCUCCCACUUGCACUCUCUCUCUCUCUUUCUCAAAAAUAAUAAACACUAAAAAAAAAAAAAGGAAUUCUUGCUCUAAGCAUUUAGAGACUUACUGAUGUAAGAACUUAUAGCUCUACUCCUUUAAGGAAUCUUACUGGGUGAUCUAAGCAUGAGCCAUGCAUCUCAGUGGGAAGAGAGAGAAAGGGAUGCGAAUUCAAUUUUAGUAGUACCGUUGGACUGAAGCGUCAGUUUGGGGAGAGCAACAGAGCAGUUGACCCAGUUCUGGGAGAAGCUAUUCUAACUGGACCCAAGACGAGCCUGUCUGGACUUGGUUAAGUUCCUCAAAUGCCAACUGUGGAAAAAGGACAUACCUUACAUCUAGAAAGGUGUAACAACUAUUAAAGGAGUAAUACUAUUAACCUCCUACAGUAACCACUUCCUCCUUUUUCUUUAGAAUUCUGUCUCCUUGAGCUUGAAUCCUUAAACACCAUGAUUUCAUCUGCUUUUUGAACAUCGUGUAAAUGGAAUCGUAGAACAUUCCUUCGUAUCUGCUUUCUUUUAUUCAGCGCUAUAGACAUGCAUCCAUGUCGUGGCAGGUAGCACAACGCUGGCCAGUACAGCAUUGUACGGACACCCCACUCCUUACGUAGCGUUUCUCCAUUAAUGUUUCCAGUUUGGGCCAUUAUGAAUAAUGCUGCUCUGAACAUUCUUGUACAUGUCUCUUAGCGCGCAUGGGCAGACGUUUCUUUGAGUAUAAAGCUAGAAGCGUGGGGCGCCUGGGUGGCGCAGUCGGUUAAGCGUCCGACUUCAGCCAGGUCACGAUCUCGCGGUCAGUGAGUUCGAGCCCUGAGUCAGGCUCUGGGCUGAUGGCUCAGAGCCUGGAGCCUGUUUCCGAUUCUGUGUGUCCCUCUUUCUCUGCCCCUCCCCCGUUCAUGCUCUGUCUCUCUCUGUCCCAAAAAAAAUAAAUAAACGUUGAAAAAAAAAAAAAAAAAGCUAGAAGCGUAAUUUCUGGGUCAGAGGGUAGGCACGCCUUCACCUUCGGUAGAUAGGUAAUGCCUAUCUGUUUUAUCUAAACUGUUUUCAAUAGUGGUUCUAAUAGUUACACGCCCAUAAACUGGAAGUUUUGGAAUGGGAAUAUAAGGCCCGUAAAAAGUAUAAUAUAAGGCCUGCAGAAGAUUUGUUUUCAGCGACCCCCCCCCUUUUUUUCCUCAGGGACAGACUGGGGAAAGCCUCAGGAUUGUUCCCCAAGGCUCACAGUGGAUGUCACCAUUGCUAUCCAUUUGAAAGAUCAGAAUCUAAGCUUGAAGUGAAUCUACCAAUAUAAUGAAAAAAAAAAAAAAAAACCCCCCCCCCCCCCCCCCCCAGGGAGCUGAGAGGUAUUCAGAAAUAAUAGUUGUGUGAACAGGGUUAGAUGGGGGUGGGGUGGUGGUAAAUGGAUCACCUGAAUGAAAUCUUUGCAGCAGUUCUCAAGCUGAGGCCUUUUAGGAAGGCCGUAGAGCUGGUCAUGGUGCCUCACAAAGUAUUUUAAAUCUUAAAUCAAAAUGCAGAAAAAUCAAACCUUUACUGAAGGUUGGAUUUCGAAAGUCUCCUGGCUUUGUUUUUGCCUGGAAUUCUAUGAAUCACUGGGAGAGAGCGCUGGCCAUUUUGGGUUAAUCGCAAGCUUUGUUUGGAAGUCACAUGUAUCUCUGAUGAACCAAAAUGGAGGAGCAUACUCUCUUAAAACUUGGGGCGCAUAGGGUGUGUAACGAUGAUGAGAUUGGCAAGACUGAAGGGUUUAUGAGGCAGAACUUGGGUGCUCUUGGCAGCCCCUGAACAUGCUCUGAUAACUGUCGGUUCCGAUAACCCUUCCUGGCCACUCUGUACUUCCUAGGGCCCUGGGGCUCCCGUGUGUGAUGACACUUUUACCCACAUUUGUGGGGCCUAGGAACCGAGCAUUCAACUAGCCUGUUAUACCAGGAUAAAAGAAAAAAAAAUCUUGGGGCGCCUGGGUGUCUCAAUCAGUUAAGCAUCCACCUUCGGCUCAGAUCACGAUCUUACAGUUCGCGGGUUCGAGCCCCGCGUCGGGCUCUGUGCUGACAGCUUGGAGCCUGGAGCCUGCUUCGGAGUCUGUGUCUCCCUCUCUUUCUGACCCCUCUCCCACUUGUGCGUGCUCUCUCUUUCUCAAAAAUAAAAAAACAAACAUUAAAAAUUAAAAGAAAAUCAUGGGGAUGAUGCGUGUCACUUCUGUAAGAAAUACCCCUUGGGAACCAGAAUGGGUGUCACCAGAUGAUGACCAGAAAAAGCCUGUAUUCAUUUUCUCCGGUUGCUUUAGCAAAUGACCAUGAACUUGGUGCCUUAAAACGGCGCACAUUUAUCGUCUCACCGUCUGCAGGUAGAAAGUCUGACACAAGCCCCGCUGGGCGAUAUGAAGGUUUUAGCAGGGCUGCGUUCCUUUCUGGAGGCUCUAGGGAAGAAUCAGUUUCCUGGCCUUCCAGCUUCUGGAGCCCACAUCCUUUGGCUUGUUGCCCCCCUUCCUCCAUCUUCAAAGCCGGCGACAACGCAGCUCUCUGACCAUUUUUUUUCUGUAGCCACGCCUCCUUCUGCCUCCCUGUUGCACUUUUAAGAACCCUGUGAUCACUCAGUGCCCACCCAUAUCGUCGGGGAGAGUCCCUUUAUUUUGCCAUCAGAGGAUUAUCAAGCCUCAUUGCACCUGCAGCCUUCAUUCCCCUUUGCUACGGAACCUAGCGUAGGCACACACACGUUCAAGGGAGGAGGGCGUCGCUCCGUUAGCCAGCCUUCCUCAGACCCUUUGAAACAAAACGGUUGAUGGGCAUAUGCCACGGAGCAGCAAAGGGGGAGGAGGCCCCGAGUGGAAGUGACCGUGCAUUGCAAUCCUGGAAAUGACAUCCUGGGGUUUCCUGAAAUAUCCCUGUCAACUUUCUGGGUAUUUUCAGGUCACCGCUUGACUUGUUGCUGAGACACCUGCUAUGCUGAGUGCCGGUACGGCAGGGCUGAACCCUUCCUCCUUGCAUCGCUGGAGGCCUGUUGUCGCAAUGUUGCCCUGAGGGUGGAGGGAGGACAAAUGCUAGAUGGAGGGACAAAAAUGCUGGAAACCAACAGGGUCAUAGCAGCUGACAAUGAAACCUCUAAAGCGUCAGAUACCAGGUGUAAGCACAUUAUACGCACGGUCUUAAUCUUGGCAGAAGCAGGUAGGAUGGAUUAUUACACCUGUUUAGGGAUGAGAAAAACAGACACGUAGCCCACGUCUCUGGCUGUCAUGACCGUGCAGUCGUGACCAAGCAGGGACAGCCAGGAAGAAGAGCUGGGCACAUUCAGGUUGGUUGGGUUUUUUUUUUUGUUUUUUUUUGUUUUUUUUGUUUUUUCUCGUGAAUCCUUAUCAUUCCGAAGGAGGUCGCUUUUCGGUGGUGUUUUCUCGGCUUUUGCUAAGCGACACCGAACACGCUUGGCUGUCUGUACCUUCUCCCUGCCAGCCUGGCAAAUGGAAGCAAGAAGUCGUUACAUUUCUAAUUGAGCAGAUUAAAAAGUGCCAGUUCCCAGGAUCGGAUGGCAGACUUGCCCUCCGUGCCACCUGGCGCCUUUGAGGCCGCAGCGAUGCUGAGAGGGGCGGGGGCCGGGGGUGGCCAAGGGAUUUAGGUCUCCUUUGUCCCCAGACUGUCUUGUUUGGGUGGGGUUGCAUCUGCUGUGGGGGGAUGGCUGUCCUGUAACGAGGCCUGUGGCGUGGCCUCGUUGGCAUGGGACCAGCCUUUCUUAGAUGGGUGUGAGCCUCCCGCCCUCUUUACGGAGCAGGCUGGUCAGAACUGUCCAGAUUGGGUUUCCAGACGGUCAUUCUGACUCUGCCUUAUUUACCACCGUGGUUCCCGGUGAUGUCUCCUCUGGAACUCCGACACAACAGAGGUAAGGUGCCUGGCUGCCACCCAGCCCAGUGUCUGAGUGUCUUCAGUUUCAGGUUUCAGAUGAUUUCCUGCGUGCUGUUGUUACCUUCCGAGGAAGUUUCUAGAAGGCAAACACCAUUCUCCUUUUCCAUAUCUCUUCUUUCAUUCACACCAAUGCUGGGACAGAAGAGGGUACAGAAAUAAUUGCUGGCUUAUUUAUUGUGGGGCUGACUUAGACCAGACAUUGAGCUAUUUGAAUGGAUUUCUGACAUAUGCAGACCGCUGGUGGAAUAGAAAGAUCAGUAACUUCUGAGCAACACAUAUAAAAUAAAAUGCUUUUUCUGCUUUAUUGAAAUAUGAUUUUCCAUUACCUACAUUGUAUCCUCUGAAACCAAGAUUCAUGUCAGCAAAUUCCUUUUUGCUAUUGUGUCAGUAAAUCUUCUCUAUCUUGAAACUGCGAUAUGCUUUCUCCUUCCUGAAAGUGGGGACCUUGUAAGCAAUUUUGUUUUCUUUAUGCCAGAGAGCUCAAAGGUACCUUGGAAACCUAGUCAGAACAAUGACAUUGAGCCUUUCAUUUGGCUCAAACUUUCUAUCUUCAGAUUAUUUUGAAGAGAGAGGAUGGAAAGGAAGAAAAGUCAAGCUGACUUUUUAGGAAAAAUAGUGAGAGACUGACUUACUGAUAAGAAAGCAUAAUUGGGAAGGUUUUUAAGAAAAUGUUUAUUUAUUUAUUUUGAGAGAGAGACAGAGAGACAGAGAGCGUUCAGGGGAGAGGCAGAGAGAAAGAGAGAGAGGGAGAAAGAGAAUCCCAAGAAGGCUGCACACUGUUAGCAGGCAGCCUGAUGUGGGGCUCGAACCCACAAACUGUGAGGUCGUGACCUGAGCCGAAACCAAGAGUCAGACGCUUAGCCGACUGAGCCACCCAGGCACCCCAGGACUUAUUUUUAAAAUAUUAUCCCUGUUACAAUUUUGAUUUUCGUCUUUCAAACCCGUUUGAUUCCCGACUCACUGACCAACCUUCUUCCUUGUUUCAUUAGAGUCCACAGGAAGCCUGGCUUCCAAGGGGCUGCCAAUGCAGACCUUCAGCCAACAGCCCCAAACUGUGGGGACUUCCCCACUGAGAUCUGGGCAGUCCCUCCUCACUCAGAUGGUGGCACACGGGGAGGCGGGAUGGGGUCCCAGCCAGGUCUGACGCCAGCUAGACCCCUCUGACAUUUAAGCCUUGACAGUAACUGCUGUAGAGACUUCAGCUUCUCAUGUUUAUUGUUCCUGAGUUUAGAACCGAAUGAUGUCUGUUGACUCCGUUUUCCAGAGUAACCUGUGCCUGAAAGCUCCUAACAGCCUCCUUAAGAUUCAUCGGGUGCAGACAAUCUUCCGUUCAGCAUGUUCAACUGUCCUGGUAACUCUGUUGUGCUCUUAGUUCAUAAUGAGCUUGUGAUCUGCUGAAACCUUGAACCCCUUUCUCUGGCUUCACAGUUAAGCCAUGUAUCCACCUCCCCGCCCCCGGCCCCCAGAGUCUAGAAGCUGGAUAUGAGUUGGAGCCAUGAUCAAUUUCCUCUUGUUACCGCUGUGAACAUUUGUGUACAAGUGGACAUAUGUCUUGAUUUCUCUUGGCUACAUACUUAGAAGUAGAACAUGGCAGCUGUAUGUCAGACUGUUUUCCCAAGUGGCUACUCCAUUUUACAUUCCCACCAGCAGUGUCCGUGGGUUCGUUUCUCCCCAACACUUGUUGUUAUCCGUCUUUUUAUUACAGCUGUACUAGAAGAGUAGGGAGUGGCACCUUACUUUGGUUUCGAUUUGCAUUGACCUGGUCAUUAAUGAUGCUGAGCACUUCUCAUGUGCUUAUUGGCCAUCUGUACAUCUUCUUUGGAGAAAUGGCUAUUCGGAUUGCCAAAUUUAAAAAAUUGGGUUGUCUUUUUAUAGUCGAGCUAUAAUAAUUCUUUUCAUAUUCGAGACAUAAGACUCUUCUCAGAUAUAUAAUUUGCGAGGCUUCUCCCCCAUUCUGUGGGUUUUCUUUUCGCUUUCCUGAUGGGGUCCUCUGAAACACACGUUUUUCAUUUUGAUGAUGUUCACUUUUUCUAUUUUUUCUUUCGUUGGCUUGUGGCUUUGGCGUCAUAUCUAAGAAACCGUUGCCUAAGGUUUUGAAUGUUUAAAAAAGCCUCAUCUGUCACCCAGUAUAUAUUUUUUCUUUUCUCCAUACUAUUAUUCUCUAAUGAGCAGACACUGUCCUUAUGAAAGUGGAUAAUAAAAUGUUGACCGACACAGGCCUGAGGACUGAGCGUGCUGGAGACAGCUAACUUCUCAUCAAAGCCCCCCUUGCCUUUCUCCAUGGUAAUGGACUUGUAGCUGCGUGCGUGUCUGCCCAGCGAGACUUCCUUUCCCAGCUGUUACAUGAGUGUGUGAGCAAGUUCUCCCCAAAGACAAGGCAUCUAAGACAGGGAGUGUGCCCCCCCCCACCUUGUGCUCUCUUCCACCUUCCUGCUGGGUGUGACCUGGGCUCCGUGUGCCCAAGCCCUAGCCACACAGACGACAAAGCCCUUGGGAAUGGGAGGGCCAACAGGACGGAAAAGCCUUGGUCCCGGGAUGGCCACAUGGAAUAGAGCUGCCCACUGGCCCAGAACUCUCGCUCCAGACUAUUACACGUGUCAGAAAGAAAUGAUUUUCUUCUCUUGUAGCCCUUGUAUUUCUUUUGGGGUGGGGGAACCUCUUACUGUGGCAGUGUAGACUUUUGCUCAACCUAAGGCUUAAGGUAAGUGGCAUGUUAUUAUAAUCAAGGUUUUUCAUAAUUGUGACUCUAUCGGCACCCUCAGUAUACGGGCAGUAAGCUGGUAAGGGUCUGCAUAGCCCCCUCUCUCUAACUCUGGCUGCAACUCUUUAUGGCAUUGUGAUCGAGUGUUUGGAUUCUGGCCUUGGCCUUCCGGGGUUCGAGCCCUAGUUUAGACCACUGAUGACUGGGCAAAUUAACCCUCAUCACUCACCUCAUUGUCUCCAUUUAAAAUGCAGAGAAUAGUAUUACCUAUGACCUAUUUCGUAAGGCGUUUCUGGAGAUCCAAUGAGUUAACAUAUCUAAUGCUCAGAGCAAGCCUGGCACAUAGUAAAACUUGCCUGCUCUGUUAUUAUUUUACAUUCUGUUCAUAAGGAUAUUGUAUAUUCCACAAACACUGAUUAACUCCUAGGAUGUGCCUUGCACUCUGAUGGGCUGCGGGCUACGGAGAAAAUGAAGGCCAGAUUCUUUCCUCAAGGGGCUGACGGCUUCAUAAGGAAGUCAGAUUUAAAAUAACAACCUAAUGGAAUUGGAGCCAUAAUAUGUAACAAAAUGUGUGGGAUCUCAGAAGAAGGACCCAUUAGCCCCAAGGCUGUGGGUAGAAAGGUGAGGGUGGGUACGAAGACGGAGGGAGGAGGGGCACCUGGGUGGCUCAGUCAGUCAAGUGUGAGACUUCGGCUCAGGUCACGAUCUCACGGUUCAUGAGUUCGAGCCCCGCAUCAGCCUCUCUGCUUUCAGCACAGAGCCCACUUUGGAUUCUCUGUCCCACCCCUGCCCCCCGCCCGUCCUCCACUGGUUCUCUUGCUCUCAAAAUAAAUAAAUAAACUUAAAAAAACUACAGAUUAAAAAAAUGAAGGAAAGAGGAUAUUUUGAAAGAGCUUGGCUGAAAUUCAGAUACACCAUUUUCCCGGAAGUUCCUGGCAUACUGAGCGCCCGAUCACAGGUGAUGCCACAGGAAGAAAGCUGUUGAUCUCAACGGACAGUCUCAUAGGUCUAAAGCAGGGCAGGUGCCGGAAAGACGCAUUUGUCUAGGUGGAUCCUAGUGCAGAGCAAGCCCUCCUGCAACCCAAGAAAAACUCAUGGUCAAGGCCUCUUUAAAAGAGAUGUUUAGGGGCGCCUGGGUGGCGCAGUCGGUUAAGCGUCCGACUUCAGCCAGGUCACGAUCUCGCGGUCCGUGAGUUCGAGCCCCGCGUCGGGCUCUGGGCUGACGGCUCGGAGCCUGGAGCCUGUUUCCGAUUCUGUGUCUCCCUCUCUCUCUGCCCCUCCCCCGUUCAUGCUCUGUCUCUCUCUGUCCCAAAAAUAAAUAAACGUUGAAAAAAAAAAAAAGAGAUGUUUAAAUAGUCAAUAAUAUUGUAAUACUGUGGUUUGGUGAGAAAUGGUGACUACACUUUUGUAGAGAAUUGUCAAAUAUCUAGGUUGUACACCUGAAACGAAUGCAACAUUGCAUUCCAACUAUACUUCAAUAAUAAUAAUAACAAUAACAAGAAUAAUGAAACAGAUGCUUAAAACACUGCUCGUUGAGAAUACACGAAAAGCGAUCAACUUACUUGGGUCAGUUGUUCAUAAUCAUAAAUCAUUCUCCCGUCCUCCCUCAACCCCUAGCCCACCAAUACACUCGACUGGAUUUGUUCCUCACUCUGCAUCCACAGUUUAGUUUUCUUCCUAAGGCAAGAGUUCUUUAUUCCGCUCCCUAUCGAGAGGGCAGAGAGUCUUGACACUGUUAAAUCCUUUUCCACAGCGGAAUGAUCUUUUUGCUUGACGUGUGUGAGUUGGUCAGUGAGAAAAUACUUCUGAUUUUUGUAUAUCUUGGGGGAGGGGAAGAGGAGAGGAGGGAGGGUCGCCCAAAGGAUAUUACAAAGCAGCUUCCCAGAGGAACCGCAAACCUGCGGGGGAAUGGUUCUAAAGCAAUCAUUUGGCUCCCUCUAGUGGGACUUUGCAGAAUUGCUUAUUCCCUCGCUGUAGUGGGUCACGCACAAACGCGCACCUGUGUGGAGAAUGGAAAAGCUACAACGACUCAGUCGCUUAACCUAAACUCUUGGCUUUGUGCCAAGGGUGGGGCAGUCGGCUGAGACAGCUUUAGGUCAAUGUAGGCAGACCCGGAGAUUAAGUGAAGGGAUAAAAUUGAUCAAACUCUAUUCCAUGCAAAAGGGAUACGGCAUUUCGGCAAUAUCCGUGUAAUUUUCUAGCCACCAAUCACCCCUCCCUCCCCACACCUAGUGCCUUAGUCUAGAGCAAAACAAAACAAAGCAAAGCAAAACAAAACAAACAUUAACUAUCUCAGGGUCUUGCCUACCCCCUCCAAAACAAAAACAAAAACACCAAACCCAAACUGCUCGGUGACUUGUAAAGGUAACGGACGCCCUCUAUUGGCACCGAUAAGUCCCACACGGGAGACUUCCCCCACUUCGUUUGGAAUUCUCACAGUAUCUACGCUCACACGAGGUUAUGUUUCUGAGCCUUUACGAGUUACAAGACCCCGCCCCCCCCAUACACACAAUAUUAGUUACACAUGUAUAACGGUUAAAAAAAGAUAGUUAAUGCUAAAGAUCCAUGAGGCUAACGCGCAAUUUGCAGUUGAUUGUGCGCACGCGUGUGUGUAUACUUGUGUAAGGGCACGUGUAUACGUGCAUGUAUGUACACGUACACUUUCUAAACCACGUACGACUUCUGAAUCACAGCUGGUCAGGGCGAUAGGGAUCGCCGAAGUUUCUCUGCCCCACGGUGGAAGCAGGCAGAGGAGGGGCUUCCGAGCUCAGCCCUGCCCAGACUCAGGGCACCGUGGCUCUCUCUGGGGUCCAGAGGGCCCGCCCCCGCAGGACAAAAGCAGGUCCAGAAAGAUUCCACGCACUUACUGCGAGUUUCCUUCUACCCAUGGAUGGGGUCAGUGAACUCCCUCCUUGGCCCCCAGGACUCCGCCUUGCCCCCCUCGAUCUGCCCGAUCUGCCCGCUUUUGAUGAUGCUGUGUUAUUAGAUGGGACCGCUGUGCCUCGAGCUCAUCAUGAUGGCAGAGUCAUGGGACACCGGGGAAGGGACAUCAGGUUUUGGAUGCCGUCCACAGACCUCGGCUUUUGUCCAGGGACUCAGGGCACGUCAGUGGCUCGUUUCUCCCAAGCUCUCAUCUCGUGUCCUCAGCCGCAGGCCGAUCUCCUCUAACCUGACUGCAGGUGGAGGGGUGGGGGGUUCACGUCAGCUCAAGGUGACCUGGUGGGAAUUGAAGAGUGGGUAACAUUCAGCUGUGGCCUCAAGGCGUCUGGGUUCUAGCAGGGGUGCGGGCCGCGGGCGAGCCGUCUAGGUAAAAUCCAGUGGCCGACGCAAAAGCAGGGAGCGACUCUGGAAUGCAGUGCUUACCAGAUUGCUGUCUUGUAAUGAUCUGUUUACACGCCUGCUAUUUAUUUUUUUUUAAUUUUUUUAAUGUCUAUUUUUGAGAGAGGAGAGAGAGAGAGAGAGAGAAAAUGCGAGCGGGGGAGGGGCAGACAGAGGGAGACACAGAAUCCGAAGCAGGCUCCAGGCCCCGAGCUGUCAGCACAGAGCCCGACGCGGGGCUCAAACCCACGGGCCGUGAGAUCACGACCUGAGCCGAAGUCGGACACUCUACCGACUGAGCCACCCAGGCGCCCCAGGGAGAGACUUUUUCAACUUCAUAAAAAUAGGACUUCCAGCACUCGUCGUGACUGUGACCACAGAGAAAAGCACCGACAGGGACGGAGUUGUCUAGCGGUUUAGCGAGUUUUAGAACUCUUCCCGAAGCAUCCUCGCAAAGGGCUAUGGGAUUGAGGACACUCUCCAGAAAUCUCGUUGGGCACGUGCCUACAUUUGGCUAAUCUUCUCGAUACCCAAGCGGAUUUACCCUGAAAGGAAAACUAGAUUUAUUGCCUUUUUGGCAAUGUCCCCGUUGUGCAUUUGAGUGACAGAAGCCCAAGAAUGAUUCCAGAAGGGAACAGAGGAAGUAAAGGGGUGGAAGAGUGAAAACCUUCAGCUGCGGUUCUGGGUGUCCAGGCUGUGGCAGCGUCCCCUCUGGUCUCGUGACCGUCACCCCUGCUGUCUGGCCUGGCCCCGGCUGAUCUGCCAUGACGUGAGGUGCACCCUGGCCUGCUCCGGGCGAGAUAACAAAUCACGGGAACAGCGACAAGAUGUUCAGGGUCACGAAGGGUUACAUGCUGCCUGGGCAACUUGCAGAUCUUAGCCGUGCCCACCCUCCACCCCCCGGAGGGCUCUCUGACAGCCAAUUAGAGCUUUUGAUUUAUUAUGGUGGCCACAGUCACCGAUCAGGCUCCCCUGUUUCCCAGCAGUGAGAACACAGAGCUUGUGCCUCCCAUGCACGGGCUUGGCGACAGGUGCUGGAAACCUCGGGUUAACGCCCACCUUGCCGGGCCCGGGGGCACAUCACCCCCAGAGUGACUGGUGAGCCAGCAGAGGCUGCAAGAGAGCCGUCGUGGGACUCCGUGGAAGGUCUGUGCGGAAGGAAUGGCACUUCACAGAUGCGUGGCAUUCUCGCUUUCCUCUCACGUCACCUCGAGGCACCAGAGGGAGCACGCCGGUGGCCCCCUGCUCGUUUUGUUUCCACAGACUGAUCUGACAGCAACUCCCUGUGCAGCCGCGGGCCAAUCGCUACCUCCUCUGGGCUUCGCUUCCUCCAUCUGGGCAAAUCAGACGUGACUUUUGCUGGUCCCUUUCGGUGCCAAUUCUAUUUCCUUCCAAUUAGACUGGAGAGUAGGCACAUCGUGAACGCUAGGUACUCUCAAAUGCCAGACUGGGCUAAAACCAUCCAUUACAUCGCAUCGUCCUUCCAACAGCCUCUGAGCCGGGUGCCGUUAUUAUCGUGUCCAAUUCUACAGAAAAGGAGACUGAGGCACAGAGGAGUUAGAGAACUCUCCUAGGGCCACAUAACUCGUACGUGGCAGAAUCAGGAUUCAAACAGUAGCUGGCCUCAGGGGCUGACCUUCAGCGGUCCUGCUGCCCCGUGAGAUCCAGGGGCCUGCCCAGGGCUGCAUGGCUGGCAAGUGGGGGGUGGGGUGCCCAGAGGCAACGCCAGGUUGUGUCUGAAUCUAAAGUCUGCCCUCGUCACUACUCUGCUAUAAAAGUUCCCGGGUGCCAUUUCUAACGGCAAACCUGGGGAGCGGAAAUGUGAACGUCCGAUGGCAGGCCAUUUACUACAUAAAUAGUGGCAUGGCCAUUCAACAUAACACGCUUUAAAAUUAUAUGGGAGAUACUCUGGUUUCUCUUCAGAUCGCAUAAAUCUUUCGCCUUUUAAAAUUAUACGCGAGAGUAUUUAUGUGAGAAGGCGUUCAAGAUGCGUUAAGUAUUAAGCGCACAAAACAGCGUGUGGCUUAGAUUCACGGCCAAUCACGGCCAGAAGGGUCAUGAAAAAGAGUGAGAUACAAUUUCUGGCCCAUGCGAUUGGGACCCACGUAAGCGGUCUGAAACCUGGCGUCUUGAAAGACUGAUACGGCUCCACCAGCAAUCCUAGCUCUGAAUACACGUCUCAAGAAACCCUUGAAGGAGGGCACACGGUAGCUUGUACAGGGGGUUUCCUUGCAGCAGUGGCUGUGAUAGUAAAAUAUUGGACACAACCGAAAUUUUAGCAGUCGUGGAAUAAAUGAAAUGUGAUCUAUUCAUACAACAGAAUGCUACAUAGCUGUUUCGGCAAAUCAGUUGGUACUACAUAAAGCAACACGGAGAUCUAAAAACUGUAGACUGGGAGUAACGGGUUUCAGAUCAAUCUGCACAGAUACUACCUUUUGUUGAAAUAAUGUAAACACAUACGCUACACACACACACACACACACAGCCUGGAAAGAGACAGAUAUAUCAAUUCACGUUAUUGAUUACUCUUGGGGAAAGAGGGACGAGAAUGGAAUUGUAAAGGUUAACCAAGAGGAUGCCAACUUUAUGUGAAAUACUCCAUUCACACACACACACACACACACACAAUUACUAGAUGUUCACAGUCGUCAAUGCUGCUGGUGAACAGUGCAGGUAUAUUAUACAUUCUGUAUGAAUUUUUUUUCAACGGUCCCCAAUAUGCUUUCAUUUUUUUUUUUUUAAAAAGGAUAUAUUUUCAUGGGAGAAAAACGAUCUCAAAAUACGCAUCGUGGCUGUCUCUGGGCAUUGGGUUACGAUGAGUUAGAUUUCCUUCUUUUGGCAUAUCUGUAUUUUCUCAAUUUCCCAAACUGAAUGUUUAUCACUCUCAUAUAAGAAAAAAAGUGAUUUGCAUGUAAAUUCUUGAAUCUAGAAUCAAUGUUAAAAAGGGAUUUAGAGCUCUGAGUGAGGGAUUUUCACCCCUGCCUGUUUGAUGGCCAGUUUCCUCCCAGGACUUGAGUGUUAGCUGUUGGGAAAAAAUAGAAUUAUGACCAACUCUCCCCUUCCUCUUCAAAAAGAAGAAUUUGAGGUCAGUGUUAACCUUUAUAAAACACAUGGGGCAGGAGUGGGCUAGCAGCUGAUCACUUUUCUGCAGAUGAGAGAAAAACAACUUCUGUCUUCACUUCUAGCUUAGAGUCUUUGUCUAAAAGAGCUUUGGCUAACCUGUGUAAAAGUUGGUUCAAAAACAUAAAUACCUUGGGGCGCCUGGGUGGCUCAGUUAAGUGUCCGACUUCAGCUCAGGUCAGGAUCUCACGGUUCGUAAGUUCGGGCCCCGCGUCGGGCUCUGUGCCGACAGCUCAGAGCCUGGAUCCUCCUCCCGAUUCUGUGUCUCCCUCUCUCUCUCUCUGCCCCUUCCCUGUUCACACUCUCUAGGUCUCUCUCAAAAAGAAAUAAACAUUAAAAAAAGAAAACAAAAAACUUAGGACAUUCUUGGAAAGGAUAGGGCACAGAGCAGGACAAGCCAGGCACAGGAUCGACAUAAGGUCAUCCGAACUCUGUACGUCGGCAACACUUUGUGCAGCCCGUGACUCAGACUAGCAGUCAGUCAUCCAGUGGAGUAUUUAGUGAGCACCUGCUGUGAACCAGGUACUGUGUAGGUCCCAGAAAAACAGCAGUGGCAUGACAGACGUGGGGAGGCCCCCUCUGAGCCCAUCACCUCCGCCAAGAGGACCAGUCUUGCCUUUGGAGAUGUCUCCAGGGCCUGCUGCUCCAAACCAAGGUGCCAUCAGACUCUGGCUUUCUAAGCCACACGUGAGACUUGCCAUUUAAACCUGCAUUCGGUUCCUCCACGAAAAGGGGUGGAGGGACCGUGGCUAAGUAGCAGCUGGGAAACCGUAUCCAGACGCCAGCAGCCCAUCAUCAAGAAAGGAAGAAUGUUAAGUAAUGACAUAAUUCAUGAAGUGCAGGUGCAGUAGGUAAUGCGAGAGAGUCCAGAGUGCGUGAGGGGAGGAUCUGACCCGGUCCCGGAGUUCACAGGUUCCCCCCCCCCCCCCGCCCCAAGGAGGCGACAGGAAGCUGAGACCCAGGAGGGAAGGUAGGGGCUUUCUUGCAGAGGCCCUGCAGGCUCCCCGCGAGAAAGAGCACAGCGCGUCUAGGGAUCCCAACAAGGCCACUAUGUCCGGAGCCUCAAGAAGGGAAAUUCACAUGCUUGGUUUCUUUCUUUCUUUCCCAGCAUUUGGCAAAGCAGUAAAAGGCUUUGUGGAGUUUUCGAGUAAAGCAGCUGACGGACACACUCUGUUUCCUGGAAGGUGCAUGGAAGUGCCCCGGGCAGCAGGCGGAACCAGGACGGGGGACAGGGACAGGGACAAUUUUGCGCCAGCCCCGCGAGGCCCCGGGGUCCCUCCGCUUGGGCCGCUGCCGGCUCCGCCUCCCGCCGCGGGGACAGCAGCCGCGUUCUCUCAGGGCCCCUCUGCACGUUUUCCCGAGCCGACUGGUUGUGAUGUCCCAGACGCGUCUUGCAGCUUCCUGGGUUGGGGUUUUAUCUUUCAAGUGGCCCAGAAAUCCCGUGUCCAAGAGCCAUCACAGAUGGGGUUCAGCUCAGCUGCACCCUAGGGUGGGGCCAAUCUGGCACUGCUAAAAAAAAAAAAACAACUGGCUUCUUGCCCCGGCAGGGCUGGCUCUGCCAUUUCUCCUGGGUUUUACGGCCAGGAUCUUCGCUAGCAGAUCAAUCUGGGAUGUUAGAUCCGUGGCACAUAACUUGAUGGGGGCAGAGGGUCCAAGUUACCUAUAAAGUAGUGCCCCAAACACAGAUUUUGGAAUCAGAAAGAUCCGGGUUCGGAUCGAACGUGGUCACUUUAACUCCUCAUCUGUAAAAUGGGAGUCCCAGUACCCAUCUCACAGGGUUGUUGUAGGGAUUCAAUGAGAUGAUACAUAUCGAAUGUUCAGCAUAGCUCCCGACAGGUGGUGUAUUCUCAGUGACCAUCUGGACCCGGGAGGAAAUUGUUUUUCCUCCCUUACUAUCCUCAGCAAAGCUGUACUGGAGCUCAGCUGCUCGGGAGACUCCACCAGGGACCUGGGAACUAUGAAGAGUUAGCGGUUAGAGCUUCAUUGGCUCAGGGGCACCUGGGCGGCUCAGUCCGUUAAGCGUCUGACUUUGGCUCAGGUCAUGAUCUCACGGUUCGCGAGCCCGCGCCCCACUUCGGCUGAGCUCGAGCCCUGCUUCGGAUAAACCCAGCUUCUCUCUUUCUCUCUCUGCCCCUUGUGGGAUUCUCUUUCUCUCUGCCCCUCACUCACUUGUGCCCUCUCUCAAAAAAAAACAAACAAAAAAACCAGAAACAAACAAACGGCCACUUCAUCAGUUUUAGUCUGGAAUUCUAAAUUCUGGGGUAAGAUUACUUCAAAUGUCUCCUUGUUUCUUUUUUUUUAUGAUCACCUGGAUCUGUUGUUUUAUUAGGGACAAAAUGCUGGUGUGAAUGUUGUAUCUGUUUAUUGUCUGGAUUACUUCUAUAAAGACAGGCCUCUCUAAAAUCAAGGAUUUGACGAUCCCCAAGUCAAGGCCCUAUAGGUAAGGCAGGAUCAGCGCUUGGGUCCUUCCUUUUAUCUGCCCAUCUCUCAGUCCACGUGGACGCUACAACAGAAUACAGUAGAUUGGGUGGCUUAUAAACCACAGAAAUGUAUUUCUCACGGCGCGGAGACUGGGAAUUCUAAGAUCAAGGCGCUGGCAGAUCCGAUGUCUGUGAAGGCCCAUUCCUGGCUGGCAGAUGGCCAUCUUGCUACGUUCUCAUGUACAGAGACGGGAAGGGAGCCCCCUGGAGUCUCUUAGAAGGGCACCAGACCCAUCCAUGACCUAAGGACUCCAGCCUCGCGACACAAUUACUGCCCAAGGCCCCACUUCCAAAUGCCGUCGCAACGGGCACUGGGUUUCAACAUAUGAAGUCUGGGGGGGAUACAAGCAUUCAGUCUGUAGCAGGCGCUUUUCAGAAUAAUGACUUGGUUAAAGUCCUCAAAAGUGGCCCAAUGGAUGUUUUAUUUUUAUCAUUGGGAACUCAAGGCGGGAACACACGUGAAGGGUUGUGCUCUCUUGUAGACGCUAAUCUUACCGACCCUCCAACUGUCCCAUCUUUAGACUGUGUGGGCCCUCUCAGUUCGGGUCUUGAGUGCUUGUGACAUGAUCGUGUUCAGGUGCUAGAUAGCCUCCUUGUCGCGAGGCUGUGACAAGAGAUUCCUGGUUCAUCUUUUACUCUCCCUGCCCCACCUCUGAGUCAUCUGAUUCUUCAAGUGGGAAAUAGUAAGAGACCAGAAACUGCUUACCCCCAUUGGAAUGUGCCUUGUUUGUAUUUAUUAUUUAUUUAUUUACAUUUAUUUAUUCUUGAGAGAGACAGACAGAGUGUGAGCAGGCAAGGGGCAGAGAGAGAGGGAGACACAGAAUCCGAAGCAGGCUCCAGGCUCCGAGCUGUCAGCACAGAGCCUGAUGCGGGGCUCGAACUCACGGGCUGUGGGAUCAUGACCUGAGCUGAAGUCGGACGCUUAACCUACUGAGCCACCCAGGUGCCCUGUUCCUUGUAUGUAUGUAUGUAUGUAUGUAUGUAUGUAUUUAUAUUGAGAGUGAGACAGCGAGCAGGGGAGGGGCAGAGAGAGGAAGGGAAACAAAGAAUUCAAAGCAGGUUCCAGGCUCCAUGCCGUCAGGGCAGAGCCCAACCCAGGCUCUGAUCCCAUGAACCGUGAGAUCAUGACCUGAGCCAAAGUCAAGACUCAGAUGCUUAACUGAGGGAGCCACCCGGGUGCCCCUGGAAUGCUCCUUGUUUUUAGACCUCUUCGAGGAUAGAAUUGGGAAAUUCUCUUUUUCAAAGAAAAAAAUAAUAAGUUUAAUAUGAUUACAUACAGGUAUUUCCAAUCAAAUUGAAACCUAUAGGGUCUUCAGUCAACCUUAUCCAUCUGACGUGGGUUUCCCCUUGCUUCCGUACCGAAAAUCCCCAUUCCCAAUGACAGUAAUGUCAUUGCCAAAAGUAUGACACUGAGAAUACUUUAACAGUUUUUCUCUCGCAGUUCUUUCUGUCCUCUGGAACAGCCCAUUAUAGAUACGCAGUCAAAUCACCACGUUUUAAAAUCACUUAAGACUGUGCCUCUCUGUGGUUAUGCUGCUAACAUGAUUCAGUUGGAUGCAUCGCUUCGCUUUGGUCUUGAUUGCUUGGGAAUUGCUUUUUUAAAUUUAAUUUUGUUUGAGAAUUAUAUAAACUAUUUUCACGGUUUCUAACGCAAAUCUACAAAGGAAUUUCCUUGGAGAAGUCUCCCUCUUUAUCAGAUCGAUACCAGGACAUUGCCCACAUUAUCCUCCACUGUGGUUUUUUUUCGCUGAACACUAUGUCCUGAAGAUCAAUACGUAAUAGCGUAUAGAGCAGCCCUUCAUUUCUUUUUAUAACUGGACAAUGCUCCAUUGUGUGCCCGAGCCUAGUUUAUUCCGUCUUCACCCUACUGAAGAACAUCUGGAUUAUUUCCAGUCUCCCUUUUACUAACCGCGUUGCACGCUCCCUGUCUUAUUUCCCCCGAUGUAUCUUUGGGAUCAAUUCCUAGGAGUGAAGUUGCCGGGUCAACGGUUGAGUGUAGGUUUUCUGAUAGAUAUUGUCAAAUUGCCCUUCGGUUGGUCGUGCCAUUUUGUAUCGUGAAAUCUGUCUCUCCAGAGUCUCACCACCAGAGCGUGCUAGCAAACGUUUGGAAUUUGCCCGUGUCAUAGGUCAGAAAUAUCUUGGUGGAGUUUUAACUGGAUUAAUUUUUCAUGCCAUUUUUUUUUUUUUUUUUUACUAUCAAGAUUCGAAUAAAGAGGAAAGAAAUGUUUUGUCUGGAUAAUCUCUUUAACCGAGCAUUACAAUCGUGACAGGUAUACAGGGUACAUUCAGGCUUCACUAGCCUGGGGCUACAACAAUGAAACCCCAUACUUUAAACCCUUUUGCUUUUAAAUUUUUUAUUUUAUUUUUGAGAGAGAGAGAGAAGGGGGGAGGGGCAGAGAGAGAGAGGGAGACACAGGAUCCGAAGCAGGCUCUGGGCUGUCAGCACAGAGCCCGACGUGGGGCUCGAACUCACAAACCUGAGAUCAUGACCCGAGCCGAAGUCGGUGCUCGACCGACUGAGCCACCCAGGUCUCCCUCUGGGAACAUACUUUAAAAGGGAUAUAGCUGGGGCAUCUGGGUGGCUUAUUUGGUUGGGCGUCCCACUUCGGCUCAGGUUCAUGAGUUCGAGCCUCGUGUCGUGCUCCGUGCCGACAGCUCAGAGCCCAGAGCCUGCUUCACAUUCUGCCUUCCUCUCUCUCUGCCCCUCUCCCGCUUGUGCUCUGUCUCUCUCAAAAAUAAAUAAACAUUUAAAAAAUUAAAAAAAAAUACUAGUGACGUGAAAAGAUUAAUUUUGAUCAAUAUUCUUUCAGAGAUUUACUUAGAACCAAACAAGAAAUUUUAUUUUAUUUUAAUGUUUAUUUAUCUUUAGAGAGAGAAAUGUAUGCUUGCAUACAAGCAGGGGAGGUGCAGAGAGAGAGGGAAAGAGAGGGAGAGAGAGAAUCCGUGAGGCUCCACAACUCACAAACUCACAAACUGUGAGAUCAUGACCUGAGCCCAGAUCAAGAGUUGGAUGCUUAACCAACUGAGCCGCCCAGGCACCUCAAGGAGGCAAUUUUAAAUUCACAGAAAACAUUAAGCAUACUGAUUGAAACGAACUAGGAACAAAAUGCCCCCACUUUAGAAACAAUUUCCUAAAAAAAAUACAUAAAUUCAUAAAAUAGUCCAAGGACUCAUAAAUAUUACAAUUCUCAUGCAAGCACGCCUAGAUUUCAAAACAAAAUCAUAGCAAGUGGAAAAAAAAAUGUUUAAAGGCUCAUAAAAGGUUGAUUUUUUUUUUUUUUUUACUAUUUACUGCUUUAUGUUUUACUAUCACUUUCAUCGAUCGGUUAUUCUGCAUCCUAAACUGUCAACCUGUGUUUAGAAUGAGCCCGAGCAUUUUUGUUAAGUGCACACUGAUCAGUGGCAGUUGGGGGGGGUCCCCGGGCUCCGGGGGCUUGCUGUCCGUGGCAAAGCACUGUGACGCUCAGCCCGGACAUUCUGGAAGUGUUGCUGAACUGAAGACCCCAGCCCACUGAGGACAUUUUGUAGAGGGUCAUGUGGUGACCAUCCCUCAAUGUGUCUUGGCAACAGGGGACACUUAGGUGGCUCCUCCCAGCCCUGCCUAUGGAUUGUCCCAGGGUCUCUGACCUUGGGGAGGAGGCCCCAGGGAGCAGCUCUGUCCAUGUGGUCGUUGUUCCGAUCUCAGAAUGAUCUUAGCAUCCGCCGCCCCUAGGGUCUGAGGGCAAGUGCCCCCUGACCAGUGAGCUGCCUUUCCCGCCUCAUAGAAGUCCUAGCCCUGCUGCAGGCCUCCGUGUCUGGUCUCCGGGGAGGUUCGGGAAGGGGAAACAAGGCGCUGUAGGAUGGCCACCCCCUUAUAUGGGGCGCUGCCAUGUUUUCUGGAGCUCUCAGGCUCUUGGGCCUGACCAUGGCCUUGGGAACGCCUCCAGGCAAAGUUAGCAAAGAACGCCUGAGGUGAAGUUGACAUCUUGCUUUUCCAAGACAGAGACCACCGAAUCCAGUUUCUGCCCACGAAGACCACCCAGGGGAGAAAGUGGGCUGAGGUUCAGGAACCUUGGGUGUCACGGCCGCCACUAGCUAGGUAAGUCUCUGCGGGGUUCAGUUUGUUUACCUGUAAAAUCCACAGGGGUUGGACCCAGUGACUUUUCAUUCUCUUCUCUGUGGCAUUUUAUGGUGCUGGGGUCUGUGACUCCGGGAAUAACGCCCACAGAGGAGUAUCUUUAGGGAAACCCAUGCUAUGGCUGGGGUCCCGGCAGCUGGGGGGAGGGGUAACAGACAGCACAGGUGCACCUGCCCCGGGCCAGGCGCUUUCUUUAGUCCCGAGCGGUGGAGACUUGAGGGGAGGACUGGUGACCCCUAGAAGCCUAUUCUCUGGAAAAGGCAUCGAGUUCGGUUCUAAAGUGAAUGAUGCGCUAAUAGAUUCUCGAACACGGAGAGAUGCCUCACAACACCUAAGAUGCCUCCGGUGAUUCCGACGGCUCCGAAUUGGGGAGGACGGUGCUCCCGAGCGAGGCUGUGCCUGAGACGGAAAUCAGUCAAGCGGCCGUGUUGAUACGGAAGUGUAGAACAUAGAUUAUUUUAAUUGCUAAUUGCUCUUGAGACCCCUACCCAGGUGUCGUCGUUGUUGGUUUUCCUAAAUGUGGCCUAAAUGUUCUCAACAGUCACGGUGAAGGAAAUUACAGUUUAUUCAGAGGCUGCCAUGUUGCUGAUGGAAGUACAAAGAGGACUCAUCAAGGUUGUUGGGUUUUUUUCACAUGGCUUUUAACAUUUACAAAGAAAAUGAUUUCGGGGGGUGCGCACUGGGAAGAAACAGGCUGUAAACAGUUACCAAGCAGCCAAAUACUCCUACGCCGGAGAGAACGUUCCCUGCACCCUCAUCUCAUCAAUUACUACCCCCUCCCUGAUAAUCGGCAUCUAAAUGUAACAGGAAGUACUCUUUUGUUCAUGACUCUCGGGGAGGAGGGCAUCCUGUCGUCGGAACACUCCAGGACCUCAUCGUGGGUGACUUCGCGGACACAAACCUCCCUCCCUUACACAGACAGGAGGCAGCCCCACGGAUGCCCCCUGUGCAGAGGAAACGACCAGAAGCUUCUCAGCCGGCCGCGAAGGCUGUCCUCCCACCCCUGCUCCCCAGAGCCAGACUCGGGGGACCCUCAGUUAGUGCGUCCUAAGGUGGGAGAAAGGUCAGAGAGUGUGAGGAGAGGAAGUUGGGCAGCCGCGAGCCUGCCGACAGCCCCUUUGAAGAAUUCCUCACUUGCUGGCGUCUUGAGAAAAUGGCCUUUUCCUGGAGUCCUCCGGCCCCAGUGGCCCCUCGCAGGCCACCUUUGCCCCGGGCGGAUGGAGAGUGCUGUUUGCGGCCUAUGCCGGGAUCAAACCAUGACAGAUAACCUUGGAGAAACAUCCUUGGGCUAUUGCUGAGGACGGGCUUGCUUUCUUUUUUUAAUCCAAGUAUAGUUAAUAUACACGUUUUAUGCGUUUCAGGUGUACAAUGUGAUGAUUUAACAAAUCUGUGAGGAACAGGCCUCUGACACCCCUCAGACCAAUGGUGGGUCCAGCAUGCCCGUGGCCACAGGGAGAACACCCGUCGGGUCAUCAGCCAGCCUUCGGGCUGGGAUUUACACCUCUGCAAGUCGCGGGAGUGCCUGCCGGGGCCCGUUCUCGACUCACCUUUUGAGCUGAGCCUGAUGGCAUCAUUCAGGACGGGAUGUGCACGCUGGUGGCGACGUGACACGGGUCCGCUCCGUCCUUUCCUAAGUCCGAUUACAGCCAACCCAACCACUGGGAUCCUUCGAUCAGCCCGAAGGAAGACAUGCUUCAGAGGAAUACCCACCAACACCAGCCAGAAGGAGCUCUCCUUACAAAAGCAGUCCUGCUCUCUUGGCCUCCCUGCAAUUUCUAAUUCGUAUUAUUACUCUAGUUUUUAUUCUACGAUUCUAAUUACUAUCCCCCCCCCCCCCCCCCCCAAUUUUGGCAUCCUCACUAUACCUCCAUUUAACUCAUCAUGUCGGAAGAAACAAGAUGGGUCACUGUAGAGAAUUCUUUCUUCCUGCGCUCGUAAUGAGCCCCGCCGGUCCCCUCGCUGUUCGUGAAGGGCACUCCCUCCACAUAAGCUGUGCGGUGUGUGGUCCUCUCUGCCCAAAUGCUCUUCCCUCACCUGCAAGUUUUCUCAGUGAGGCAUUCCCCUAGUUACCCAAUCGAAAAUUAUAACCCACCCGAUGUGUCCCAUCCGCCUCCACACUUGGCUUUUCUCCACAGCUCUCAGCGCUGGCUAAAAUCUUAUUAUACUUAUUAAUUUAGCCGAUUGCCUACCUCCUCUACCUCUACGGAAGCUCCAAAUGAGGGCAGGAGCCCAGAGACUUCAUCUGUGUUGUUGACUGCCGUGUCUCCGGUAACUAGAAAAGAGCCCAGCGAACAGCAAGUACCCCUUCAACAUCUGUUGGAUAAAAACUUGAGUGGAUGAGUGACGUCGGCUGAACCACCCCCCACACCCAGGCAGCCCAGCCUUCUCUGAGUGUGAAGGGCCCUCGCUUCCUGUGAGAGUCCUGCCCCCACUGCACCCAACAUGUCUUGAAGACGUCUCUUACAUCUCGCAGGUCUAGCAAUGUGAUUCGAAAAAUCAGUAUGUUUCGUGCAGGUUCUGUUUUGUCUUGAACAGGAGGGACCUUCAAAGAAUCUAAUUUUUCAUGCUGAUCAAAGAGAAAGCUAAAUUUUAUUCUUUUGAUACCAUUUUAAUAAUGAAUGUAUGACUAAAUUCAUUGUUAGUAAUUUGCUUAAUGUUCUCACAUAUAUUUUCUUAGGUAAAAUCGGUUUAUACAUCUCCUUCCUCUACGUUAUCCUCUACCUUUGACAGGAUCUAAUGUCACUGUUGUGUUAUUUUUGCAAAUAUUAAAUCUACUAUGGAUAUGGCUUAGGAAUUGGAGGUUUGAAGGAAUUUGUUCAUGAAACUCUCCAGGUCCAGAGUUAUUUUUGAGAGGCAACUAUGAGUAAUUUCUCUUUGCGUAUUAGUCUAUUCAGAUAUUAAGAUCUUCUUGGAGCGCCCGGCUGGCUCAGUCGGUACAGUGCGCGACCCUUGAUCUCAGAGUUUAACUUCAAGCCCCACAUUGCGUGUGGAGAUUACUUAAUAAUAAAAUCUCUUUUUUUCAAAAAAAGAUCUUCUUGUAACAAUUUUUUAAUUUAAUAUUUCCCAUAAAAAUCACAUUAUUUGAAUGGAAAGGCAGCCUACUGAAUGGGAGAAGAUAUUUGUAAAUCAUAUAUCCAAUAAGGAGUUAAUAUCUAAAAUAUACAAAGAACUCAUACAACUCAACACCAAAAAAUAAAUAAUCCAAUAAAAAAUGGGCAGAGGGUUUAGACAUUUUUCCAAAGGAGACACAUAGAUGGCCAUCAGACACAUGAAAAGACACUCAACAUCACUAAUCAUCAGGGAAAUGCAAAUCAAAACCACAAUGAUACAUCACCUCACACCAGUCAGAAUGGCUGAUGUCAGAAAGACAGGUGUUGGCAAGGAUGUGGAGAAAGAGGAACCCUUGUGCACUACCGGUAGGAAUGUAAAUUGGUGCAGAAACUGUGGAAAUAGUAUGGAAGUUCCUCAAAUAUUAAAAAGAGGAAUAAUAUCAUACAAUACAGUAAUUCCACUUCUGGGUAUUUACCCGAAGGAAAUGAAAACAUGAAUUUAAAAGGAUACAAGCACCCAUAUGUUUAGUGGAGCAUUAGUUACGAUAGACAAGAUCUGCCAGCAACCCCAGGGUCCACUGAUAGACAAAUGGACACCCACCCCCACCCCCACACUGGAAUAUUACUUAGCCAUAAAAAAGGAUGGCAUCUUGCCAUUCACAACAACGUGCCUGGAACUAGAGGGUAUUAUGCUAAGUGAAAUAAGUCAGGUAAACACAAAUAGCAUAUGAUCUCAUUUAUCUGUGGAAUCUAAAAAACAAAUGAAUAAACAAGCAGAAAUACACUCACAAAAAUAGAGACCUGGUGGUUGCCCGAGCAGAGGGGGGUGCGAGGAUGGGUGAAAGAGGUGAAGGAGAUUAAGAGCUGCACACUCACACUCCCAGGAACAAAAUAAGUAAGUCACAGGGAUAAAGAACACAGCAUAGAGAAUACAGUCAAUAAUACUGUAAUAAUUUUGUGUCUGUGACAGAUGGUGACCACUUAACCUUAGUGAGCAUUUUGUAAUGUACGUAACUGUCAAAUCAGCAUGUUAUAUAUCCACUAUGUUAUACACCUAAUGUAAUGUUGUAGGUCAACUAUAUACUUCAAUUAAAAAUACCCCACACGUUUCAUCUGUAUUUUCCAGUUGAGCUCUAACAAGCAUGUGUUAACAAUUCUAAAAUCUCCUGUUACCUGUUUUUAUACUCCACAUUUCAUUUCUGUUUUAGUUCAGAUGAACAUUCUCUCUUCUUGAUUAAAAUGAC
rnacentral:lncRNA from 1 species